UGGCCACGCAGCAGCCAGCACAGGAGUAGAUGAAGUUCUCCACAGCCUGGGAGGAAGGCAGGCAGAUGGGAGGGCAGGACAUAAAGCCGGAUCCGAGGGACUCCAGGGGCCACAGCCAGACUGAAUUCGGCCCUCGUGAGCCCCCACGGCACCUCACACCUGCCCGUUCAGCCUUCAUCGUGUAUGGACAUACACACUCAGGCACAUAGAAAGUUCUCUCCUGUCUUACGGGGCAUAAGGAGACAGAGGGCUUGUAAGUAUAUCUCCGCCACUUGAUCUGCAAUUCACCUUCUUCUGCACCUUUGUUUCUCCUAGGGACACUGGUUGGAAAGCCCAUGAGCUCAUCUGGAGCCCAGACUUGACCAGCCCAGACGGAAGAGGCCUUGUUAGAUAGGAAGACUAAUGCUUACGACGUUCCCAAAUGGCUGUGACCAUCUCGACUCAAGCAGAGCGCUGAGGCAGUCAACUCAAGGGUCCAUUCCUGACCCUGCUCAGAAUUCUUCCAGGCUUCCCCCUGCCUCACAGACACCUCCCUUACCCACAGUUACUGGCAGCAGCUCAGCACUAAUCUAACUGAAGUCAUUUCACACCAAAGAAGAGCUGAGCCAGCUCAACACUCCUAGGGGUGUUUUUCCACUUGAAAAUCGGACAUCUCUAGUCGGAAUCUAAGAACAGAAAAUCUAUAAAAUCACAGAAUGCGCCUUCUGGAAGAAAAAGACUAUUCCUAGGAAAGGGAAAUAGAUGACUGAAGACAAACCUCUCAAGAAGGAACACAACCCAUCACCUCCCAGUCUGGACCUUCACGUCUAUCAGCUUGUUUUCCCACCACAGAUAUUCCUUCUACCCCCAAUGCAUCCUAUCUUGACUCACAAAAUAGUGAUAUGCCCGUGGGUAAGUGACUCGAAUGUCACCACCGGAGUCAUGCGGAGUAUAACUGCAGGAAAUCUCACCAGGUCAAGGGCACUCUCCUGAUUUAAGGGGCUUUCACUUGAAGGCUGUGGGAAACUCUCUUUGCUGAGUGGCCAGGAGACAAACAGCUCUCAGCUCUUUCCUACUGGAAGUCAUCAGAAGAGACCACCGGCACUAUUCUAGCAGAAAGCCUAGAAGAGCUGAGAGGCUACCUUUGAAAGACUGAUAUUAAACACAAAGACACAGAGUUGGUUUCUCUGUGUAUUCUUGCUGUA